GCCGGGCGUUGUGGCGGGCGCCUGUGGUCCCAGCUACUUGGGAGGCGGAGGCAGGAGACUCGCUUGAGCCCAGGAGUUGGAGGUUGCUGUGAGCUGUAAUGCCACGGCACUCUACCCUGGGGGACAGCUUGAGGCUCUGUUUCAAAAAAAAAAAAAAAAUGAGAGAGACUACUAAAUGGUAUCCUUUUUUUUUUGAGACAGAGCCUCAAGCUAUCGCCCUGGGUAGAGUACUGUGGCAUCACAGCUCACAGCAACCUCUAACCCCUGGGUUCACGCAAUUCUCCUGC
rnacentral:SRP_RNA from 1 species